rnacentral:rRNA from 1 species
UACCAGCACCCCGAGUGGUCGGGACGAUUAUUGGGCCUAAAGCAUCCGUAGCCGGCCUUACAAGUUCCUCCGUUAAAUCCAGACUGCUUAACAGAUGGCUGCGGAGGAUACUAUAAGACUAGGAGGCAGGGAGAGGCAAGCGGUAGCUCAGUGGGUAGGGGUAAAAUCCACUGAUCCAUUGAAGACCACCAGUGGCGAAGGCGGCUUGCCA